CCUCCUCCUCCCCUUCCUCCUUCUCCUCCUCUUCCUCCUCCUCCCCUUCCUCCUUCUCCUCCUCUUCCUCCUCCUCCUCUUCCACUUCCUCCUUCUCUUCCACUUCCUCCUCCUCUUCCUCCUCUUCCUAUCCCUCUUCCUCCUCCUCUUCCUACCCCUCCUCCUCCUCCUCCUUUCCCCCUCCCCCUCCACCCUUCUCCUCUCACACUGUGAUCCUGACCCUCUGAAAAGGCCUGAAGACCCCACCAUCUGGUUCCCAAACCACCUUUCCUGGAAACAGAUUCUGCCGCCUGUGGGAAGCUGAACGGUGCAAAGAGAGCGGGAAGCAGACCAGGUGUAGCAGGAGCUCCGUGUGACUCUAUUUCUCCCCAUUCCGUCACGGGGUGCCCCCCUGGGCACCCUCCAACCCCAUCCGCAGGCUUCUGGGGGCCCUGGUCCGCCUCCCCCCUCCCUCCCUCUGCUGUCGCGGUUGUAACAGGUUCAUGGCUGUCGCCCAGCCCUCGCCAGCCCAGACAGCCUGGCGCGGAGGGCGGAGGGAGGGAGCCCAGGCGGGCCCCGCAGGUUCGCUCCCAGGCCCCUUCCCCCCGCCUCGGCCCCCAGCCCCGGUCCCCGCGCCUCGCCCACCCGCCCCGGCCCCGCUACCUCGGGAGGCGGCGCGGGUCUCAGUCCCGGAGGCAGAUCGCCGGCUCAGACAGCCCCACGGCCAUGACUCUGCCGCCACCGCCGCCUCGGCUGCCAGCGCCAGACCGGUUGAUGAAUUAGCAUCUAUUUUUAAGCCAUGACACGCACGUCGAAGCAGGGCUGGUAUCAGUGUGCGUGUGUGUCAGCGACACGCAGGGACACAGCCUCACACCCGGUGGCCCGAGUGGACACGCGGCGUGGGCCACGCAGCCCGCACCCCCUGCGGCCCCGCCUCGCAGGCAUGCUAGUGUGUAUGUGUAUUUUCGGAGCUGCGCCAAUGACAGGCACUUUGCCUAAAGCUGACAUUAUGUAAGUCGUCCCAGACUGUGUCUUGAGCACACACGCUCCUCCCCAGGCAGCGUUAAUUAAUUACACAGACACGAGGAUGAUUCCCACUUACUUGUACAUUUCUCCUUCUCCGAGAACACCGUGGUACCGAGAACUAUUGUUCGUAACCCCGAUCAGUAUUUACUAUAUACCACGUGCUUCACAUAUCUUAGCUCAUCUUAUCCUCACCACAAGUCUGUGACGGAGGUGAUAUUGUUAUUGUACCCAUUUUAGGGAGGAGGAGACGACGAGGCACAGAGAGGCUAAGUGAUCUGCCCAGGGCACGCUAGGCAUCGCCAGAGCUGAGCUUCACACCCUGGCUGCCUGGCUGGGAAGUUCAAGUCCUUAAGGGCUUUCUGAACAAGUGUCCCCCGCACAAUGGAGAAGGCACAGUGGAUUUCUAUCCGGAAAGCCAUUUCGGGCAGCUCAGCUCCUAGUGAAUUUCCCUUUCCUCCACUCCUGAAGAAAUUCAUGUGCUGAGUUUUGCGGAUAUAUAGCCUCACUUGCCUUUCUACCGUAAGCACCUUGUAGGCUCCAGUAUUGUAAACACUUGGAAGGCAAGGACAGUGUUGUGGUUCCCGGUGCCCAGCUCACUGUGUGAUGGGGAGGUGGGGGCAGUAAUGAAUGUUAUCAGGUGACGCUUUGAGAACCAAGAAGACUCGGACUCCAGGAGAGCUGCCUGACAAGAGGAAGCCAGGAAGAAGAUGAGGUCAUGCUGGACCUGGCUUAGGAUGGGUAGGCGGUAUCUACUGUAGCUGAAAUCAGGAUGGACUACAUUCCCAGAGGGAUGGUAGAUCAGGCUUUGAAAUCUGAGUCAGAGAAAGUGACAUAAUCCCCAGUUCAGUUCCAUCACAGGGUGUCGUCGAAGAGUAAUUCCCCCCUCCACCCAACCUUUUCCUCCUUAGAGAAGCAAACACAAUUCCUCUCUAUUUUCCCUGUGCCUUCUUGGUAUGGCAAUUUACCUGAAGACAUGAAAUCCUCAUCAUUUAAAACAAAAAACCCUUCAGGGGUUCCCUGGUGGCGCAGUGGCUAAGAAUCCACCUGCCAAGGCGGGGGACACGGGUUCGAGCCCUGGUCCAGGAAGAUCCCACAUGCCGCUGAGCAACUAAGCCUGUGCGCCGCAACUACUGAGCCUGUGCCCUAGAACCCGCGAGCCACAACUACUGAGCCCGUGUGCCACAACUACUGAAGCCUGCGCGCCUAGAACCUGUGCUCCGCAACAAGAGAAGCCUCUGCGAUGAGAAGCCUGCACACCGCAACGAAGAGUAGCCCUGCUCGCCACAGCUAGAGAAAGCCCACGCACAGUAACAAAGACCCAAUGCAGCCAAAAAUAAAUGAAAUAAAAUAAAUUAAUAAACAAACAAACAAACAAAAACCCUCCUGGGAAAUUUGAAAUGUAACCACGGAAGCCCCAGUUCAUAGGGUUUUAAAAAAUGUAUUCUUGUCAUUAAAAAAAUUUUUUUUUAGUCAAUAGGCAGUUUCUCUAAGACUUAAAAAAAUCUGUCUUUGUUGGAAUAAUAUAUCUUUACAUAUAAUCCUAUUUUAAGUGUAACUCAUAAACUGUUUAUAGCCAGAUUAAAAAUUAAUCUAUAUUUUAA